UCGAACGAGGUGCUUUUUGUAGCAAUACGAGGAGUAUCCUAGUGGCGAACGGGUGAGUAACGCGUGGGUGACCUACCCCAAAGUGUGGAAUAACAGUCCGAAAGGAUUGCUAAUGCCGCAUGUGGUCUGCGAGUUUAGAAAUCGUUGACUAAAGGAGCAAUUCGCUUUGGGAGGGACCUGCGUCCCAUCAGCUAGUUGGUGAGGUAACGGCUCACCAAGGCUACGACGGGUAGGGGACCUGAGAGGGUGGCCCCCCACAAUGGAACUGAAACACGGUCCAUACACCUACGGGUGGCAGCAGUAGGGAAUAUUGCACAAUGGGCGAAAGCCUGAUGCAGCAACGCCGCGUGCGCGAUGAAGGUCUUCGGAUCGUAAAGCGCUUUUCUGAGAGAUGAGGAAGGACAGUAUCUCAGGAAUAAGUCUCGGCUAACUACGUGCCAGCAGCCGCGGUAAAACGUAGGAGGCGAGCGUUAUCCGGAUUCACUGGGCGUAAAGCGCGUGCAGGUGGUUCGGUAAGUUGGGCGUGAAAUCUCCCGGCUCAACUGGGAGAGGUCGUUCAAUACUACCGUACUUGAGAGCAGAAGAGGAAGAUGGAAUUCCCGGUGUAGUGGUGAAAUGCGUAGAUAUCGGGAGGAACACCAGUGGCGAAGGCGAUCUUCUGGUCUGUUUCUGACACUCAGACGCGACAGCUAGGGUAGUAAACGGGAUUAGAGACCCCGGUAAUCCUAGCCGUAAACGAUGUGAACUUGGCGUUGGUGGGUUAAACUCCAUCAGUGCCGAAGCAAACGCGAUAAGUUCACCGCCUGGGGACUACGGCCGCAAGGUUAAAACUCAAAGGAAUUGACGGGGGCCCGCAC
rnacentral:rRNA from 1 species